CUACGGGCUGCAGCAGUGAGGAAUAUUGCACAAUGGGGGGAACCCUGAUGCAGCAACGCCGCGUGGAGGAUGACGCAUUUCGGUGUGUAAACUCCUUUAUAUGUCAAGAAAAUGACGGUAGCAUAUGAAUAAGCACCGGCUAACUCCGUGCCAGCAGCCGCGGUGAAUACGGAGGGUGCAAGCGUUACUCGGAAUCACUGGGCGUAAAGGACGCGUAGGCGGGUUGGAAAGUCAGGUGUGAAAUCCUACAGCUUAACUGUAGAACUGCACUUGAAACUUCUAAUCUAGAGUAUGGGAGGGGGAGAUGGAAUUAGUGGUGUAGGGGUAAAAUCCGUAGAUAUCACUAGGAAUACCUAAAGCGAAGGCGAUCUCCUGGAACAUUACUGACGCUAAGGCGUGAAAGCGUGGGGAGCAAACAGGAUUAGAUACCCGUGUAGUC
rnacentral:rRNA from 1 species